rnacentral:rRNA from 1 species
AUUGAACGCUGGCGGCAUGCCUUACACAUGCAAGUCGAACGGUAACGGGCCUUCGGGUGCCGACGAGUGGCGAACGGGUGAGUAAUACAUCGGAACGUGCCCGAUCGUGGGGGAUAACGAGGCGAAAGCUGUGCUAAUACCGCAUACGAUCUACGGAUGAAAGCAGGGGACCGCAAGGCCUUGCGCGGACGGAGCGGCCGAUGGCAGAUUAGGUAGGUGGUGGGAUAAAAGCUUACCAAGCCGACGAUCUGUAGCUGGUCUGAGAGGAUGAUCAGCCACACUGGGACUGAGACACGGCCCAGACUCCUACGGGAGGCAGCAGUGGGGAAUUUUGGACAAUGGGCGCAAGCCUGAUCCAGCCAUGCCGCGUGCAGGAUGAAGGCCUUCGGGUUGUAAACUGCUUUUGUACGGAACGAAAAGCCUUCUUUUAAUACAGGAGGGUCAUGACGGUACCGUAAGAAUAAGCACCGGCUAACUACGUG